AUGCAAUUCUCAGAGGCAAGUCAGCCCACGGUCAUACGCUGCUCGUGUGCUUCCCAGAUGAUGGUCGGACGCAGGCCAGACAUUACCAAUACGCAAAGCUUGCCUCCGCCCUUGUCUGCUCGUGCGCAGCACGCCCCGGCUCGCCUCUGGUCUGCUGCGCCCAUGCGUGCUCGUAGCGACUCAUACCGCCUUUCCACGUCCAUGUGCACGGCCGCGCGGUUGUGCGUCUGCGGCCUCUCCAGCUGCUGCCCUGCUUCCAUCCUGCUGGCCUGUCCAAGGCAGGCCGCCGCUGCACCCCGUGCGUGCCGGCUCCGCGCCUUGCCUCCCUUCCGGCUUUGCCCGCGUGUGCAAGAUCUGCCGCGGGCUGCUCCUCAUGCCUGGCUGCCGCCUUCCCACAGCCGGCUUCUCCGCGCCCGGCUGCACGUGGUCGCCUCAGCAUCACCAGCGCGCCGUGUCCUCCGCGCCGUGCCUGCCGCACCCGGCCACGCCGGCUCCUGCCGGCCUCCGCUCCUCCAUGGCGCCUCCUCCUGCCGGUUUCUCCUGCCCCGCUCACCGGCCCCAUGCUGCCGCCUCGCUCGCCGCGCCAGCUGCCGGCUCCGCCACCGCUCCACGCGCUACUCCGCCCCCGAGCUCCACUGGUCCGAGCCACCCGGGCUGGCCACUCGGCUGCGCUGCCACCCUCUGUGCCGCCUUACCCCGUGUCCGUCUAGCACCGCUCGGUGCCUCGCUGCUCCCGCCUCACUGUGCCGCCUGGGACCCCCGUGCUGGCUGCCCGUGCUUGCCGGCUCGCCCACACACCUCGCGUCCGUCCUGCCCCACUGCUGCCGUCUUCGCGCUAGUUUCCUCCUGCGCUGCCUGCUCGGCCAUGCCCGCACCGGUCGACUCUUGUCGCGGAUCCGCCUGCCGGGCCUCCGGCUGUCUGCACGGCCUGCUUUGCGCGUGCUUGGCCAACUCCCCACAUGUCCGCCUCCGCCUGUCGCCCGCCCCGGCUCGGCGCCCAGCCGGGUGGCGCCACGCCGGCUGCUCCGUGCAGAAAGAAAGGGGGUCGGCUGCCACACGGGAGAAAGAGAAAGAUAA
rnacentral:rRNA from 1 species